rnacentral:rRNA from 1 species
UCCCUCGGCGGGGCAACCUGCCGUUGGAACCGAAUAAACUCUUUUUGCAUCUAGCAUUACCUGUUCCGAAACAAACAAUCGUUACAACUUUCAACAAUGGAUCUCUUGGCUCUGGCAUCGAUGAAGAACGCAGCGAAAUGCGAUAAGUAGUGUGAAUUGCAGAAUUCAGUGAAUCAUCGAAUCUUUGAAC